rnacentral:tRNA from 1 species
GGAGCGGUAGUUCAGCUGGUUAGAAUACCUGCCUGUCACGCAGGGGGUCUCGGGUUCGAGUCCCGUCCGUUCCGCCA